rnacentral:rRNA from 1 species
UACAGAGGGUGCGAGCGUUAAUCGGAAUUACUGGGCGUAAAGCGCACGUAGGCGGCUUGGUAUGUCGGGUGUGAAAUCCCCGGGCUCAACCUGGGAACUGCAUCCGAAACUGCCUUGCUCGAGUAUGGGAGAGGGAAGUGGAAUUUCCGGUGUAGCGGUGAAAUGCGUAGAUAUUGGGAAGAACACCGGUGGCGAAGGCGGCCAUCUGGACAGAUACUGACGCUGAGACGCGAAAGCGUGGGGAGCAAACAGG